UUAAGCGACUAAGCGUACACGGUGGAUGCCCUGGCAGUCAGAGGCGAUGAAGGACGUGCUAAUCUGCGAAAAGCGUCGGUAAGGUGAUAUGAACCGUUACAGCCGGCGAUGUCCGAAUGGGGAAACCCAGUGCAAUUCGUUGCACUAUCGUUAACUGAAUACAUAGGUUAACGAGGCGAACCGGGGGAACUGAAACAUCUAAGUACCCCGAGGAAAAGAAAUCAACCGAGAUUCCCCCAGUAGCGGCGAGCGAACGGGGAGCAGCCCAGAGUCUGAAUCAGCUUGUGUGUUAGUGGAACGGUCUGGAAAGUCCGACGGUACAGGGUGAUAGUCCCGUACACCAAAAUGCACAGGUUGUGAACUCGAAGAGUAGGGCGGGACACGUGGUAUCCUGUCUGAAUAUGGGGGGACCAUCCUCCAAGGCUAAAUACUCCUGACUGACCGAUAGUGAACCAGUACCGUGAGGGAAAGGCGAAAAGAACCCCGGCGAGGGGAGUGAAAAAGAACCUGAAACCGUGUACGUACAAGCAGUGGGAGCACCUUAUGGUGUGACUGCGUACCUUUUGUAUAAUGGGUCAGCGACUUAUAUUCUGUAGCAAGGUUAACCGUAUAGGGGAGCCGCAGGGAAACCGAGUCUUAACUGGGCGUUAAGUUGCAGGGUAUAGACCCGAAACCCGGUGAUCUAGCCAUGGGCAGGUUGAAGGUUGGGUAACACUAACUGGAGGACCGAACCGACUAAUGUUGAAAAAUUAGCGGAUGACUUGUGGCUGGGGGUGAAAGGCCAAUCAAACCGGGAGAUAGCUGGUUCUCCCCGAAAGCUAUUUAGGUAGCGCCUCGUGAACUCAUCUUCGGGGGUAGAGCACUGUUUCGGCUAGGGGGUCAUCCCGACUUACCAACCCGAUGCAAACUACGAAUACCGAAGAAUGUUAUCACGGGAGACACACGGCGGGUGCUAACGUCCGUCGUGAAGAGGGAAACAACCCAGACCGCCAGCUAAGGUCCCAAAGUCAUGGUUAAGUGGGAAACGAUGUGGGAAGGCACAGACAGCCAGGAUGUUGGCUUAGAAGCAGCCAUCAUUUAAAGAAAGCGUAAUAGCUCACUGGUCGAGUCGGCCUGCGCGGAAGAUGUAACGGGGCUAAACCAUGCACCGAAGCUGCGGCAGCGACACGAUGUGUUGUUGGGUAGGGGAGCGUUCUGUAAGCCUGCGAAGGUGACCUGUGAGGGUUGCUGGAGGUAUCAGAAGUGCGAAUGCUGACAUAAGUAACGAUAAAGCGGGUGAAAAGCCCGCUCGCCGGAAGACCAAGGGUUCCUGUCCAACGUUAAUCGGGGCAGGGUGAGUCGACCCCUAAGGCGAGGCCGAAAGGCGUAGUCGAUGGGAAACAGGUUAAUAUUCCUGUACUUGGUGUUACUGCGAAGGGGGGACGGAGAAGGCUAUGUUAGCCGGGCGACGGUUGUCCCGGUUUAAGCAUGUAGGCUGGUUAUCCAGGCAAAUCCGGAUAAUCAAGGCUGAGGUGUGAUGACGAGGCACUACGGUGCUGAAGUAACAAAUGCCCUGCUUCCAGGAAAAGCCUCUAAGCAUCAGGUAACAUCAAAUCGUACCCCAAACCGACACAGGUGGUCAGGUAGAGAAUACCAAGGCGCUUGAGAGAACUCGGGUGAAGGAACUAGGCAAAAUGGUGCCGUAACUUCGGGAGAAGGCACGCUGGUGUGUAGGUGAAGUCCCUGCGGAUGGAGCUGAGACCAGUCGAAGAUACCAGCUGGCUGCAACUGUUUAUUAAAAACACAGCACUGUGCAAACACGAAAGUGGACGUAUACGGUGUGACGCCUGCCCGGUGCCGGAAGGUUAAUUGAUGGGGUUAUCCGUAAGGAGAAGCUCUUGAUCGAAGCCCCGGUAAACGGCGGCCGUAACUAUAACGGUCCUAAGGUAGCGAAAUUCCUUGUCGGGUAAGUUCCGACCUGCACGAAUGGCGUAAUGAUGGCCAGGCUGUCUCCACCCGAGACUCAGUGAAAUUGAACUCGCUGUGAAGAUGCAGUGUACCCGCGGCAAGACGGAAAGACCCCGUGAACCUUUACUAUAGCUUGACACUGAACAUUGAGCCUUGAUGUGUAGGAUAGGUGGGAGGCUUUGAAGCGUGGACGCCAGUCUGCGUGGAGCCAACCUUGAAAUACCACCCUUUAAUGUUUGAUGUUCUAACGUUGGCCCCUAAUCGGGGUUGCGGACAGUGUCUGGUGGGUAGUUUGACUGGGGCGGUCUCCUCCCAAAGCGUAACGGAGGAGCACGAAGGUUAGCUAAUCCUGGUCGGACAUCAGGAGGUUAGUGCAAUGGCAUAAGCUAGCUUGACUGCGAGCGUGACGGCGCGAGCAGGUGCGAAAGCAGGUCAUAGUGAUCCGGUGGUUCUGAAUGGAAGGGCCAUCGCUCAACGGAUAAAAGGUACUCCGGGGAUAACAGGCUGAUACCGCCCAAGAGUUCAUAUCGACGGCGGUGUUUGGCACCUCGAUGUCGGCUCAUCACAUCCUGGGGCUGAAGUAGGUCCCAAGGGUAUGGCUGUUCGCCAUUUAAAGUGGUACGCGAGCUGGGUUUAGAACGUCGUGAGACAGUUCGGUCCCUAUCUGCCGUGGGCGCUGGAGAAUUGAGGGGGGCUGCUCCUAGUACGAGAGGACCGGAGUGGACGCAUCACUGGUGUUCGGGUUGUCAUGCCAAUGGCACUGCCCGGUAGCUAAAUGCGGAAGAGAUAAGUGCUGAAAGCAUCUAAGCACGAAACUUGCCCCGAGAUGAGUUCUCCCUGAGACUUUAAGUCUCCUGAAGGAACGUUAAAGACGAUGACGUUGAUAGGCCGGGUGUGUAAGCGCAGCGAUGCGUUGAGCUAACCGGUACUAAUGAACCGUGAGGCUUAACCU
rnacentral:rRNA from 1 species